GUGACUAGAGUUCGGUAGAGGUGAGUGGAAUUCUCGGUGUAGCGGUGGAAUGCGCAGAUAUCGAGAGGAACACCAUUAGCGAAGGCGGCUCACUGGGCCGAUACUGACGCUGAGGGGCGAAAGCGUGGGGAGCAAACAGGAUUAGAAACCCUGGUAGUCCACGCCGUAAACGAUGAACACUAGGUGUAGCGGACUGAUUCAUGUCUGCUGUGCCGUAGCUAACGCAUUAAGUGUUCCGCCUGGGGAGUACGGCCGCAAGGCUAAAACUCAAAGGAAUUGACGGGGCCCCGCACAAGCGGCGGAGCAUGCGGCUUAAUUCGAUGCAACCCGAAGAACCUUACCUGGGUUUGACAUCAUGGGUCUAGCUGUGGAAACACAGUGUGCUUACGCGCCCAUGACAGGUGGUGCAUGGCUGUCGUCAGCUCGUGUCGUGAGAUGUUGGGUUAAGUCCCGCAACGAGCGCAACCCUUGUCCUAUGUUGCCAGCACGUAAUGGUGGGGACUCAUGGGAGACUGCCGGGGACAACUCGGAGGAAGGCGAGGACGAUGUCAAGUCAUCAUGCCCCUUAUAUCCAGGGCUGCACGCAUGCUACAAUGGGCGAUACAAUGGGCUGCGAUCCCGCGAGGGUCAGCUAAUCCCGUAAAGUCGUCCUCAGUUCGGAUUGGAGUCUGCAACUCGACUCCAUGAAGCCGGAGUCGCUAGUAAUCGUGGAUCAGCAAAGCCACGGUGAAUACGUUCUCGGGGCUUGUACACACCGCCCGUCACAUCACGGAAGUCGGUAACACCCGAAGUCAGUGGCCUAACCCUUGUGGAAGGAGCUGCCGAAGGUGGGAUUGGUGACUGGGAUGAAGUCGUAACAAGGUAACC
rnacentral:rRNA from 1 species